rnacentral:lncRNA from 1 species
CCAGCCAGGGCUACACAGAGAAACCCUGUCUUGAAAAGGUACCAGGAGAAGAAGAAGAAGAAGGAGAAGGAGGAGGAGAAGGAGAAGAAGAAGAAGAAGAAGAAGAAGAAGAAGAAGAAGAAGAAGAAGAAGAAGAAGAAGAAGAAGAAGAAGAAGGAGAAGAAGAAGAAGAAGAAAGUCCUCUCAAGGGGUUAAAGCGAGAGUAACAAAUGGUGGGUUUCUCUGUGGCUUUGGAGAUGAUUCCACUUCUUACGUUGAAAACACACCCUUGAGAUGCCCACACCACAUCCUUUGUGCCCGAUGGUUAUCAUGAAGCAUAGCUGGAACCAACCACCUGGAAGUCAGAGGGUGCACAAGUCAACCAGCACAGACAGCCUCCUGGGCCAGAGUGGAAAGAAGCGAAGUGGGGGUUAAAGGGCCAACAGUUCCAUUUACACUUCGUCUUAAGUCUUAGAGUAAAUCUGCAUGUGUCUGAAUCCCUGCCACUCGGUGACUCUGUUUCUAGCACAAUUUAAUUUCUGUAUUCCCCAUGAAGCCUUCUCUGACUGUGUUGGUCAAUUUGCCCUCCAUGAGAUACCAUAAAAACCUACUUAAAAGGUUUAAAAUGUACACUUAAGUCUUGUUUAGUAUUUUUCUCCGUUGCCAUAAACUCUUCCAUGGCAAAAGAGGUGCACAAUCUUUUCACCUAUCCUCUCUCCCAGACAAACCCACUACUGCAGCAUCUUUUCCCUAGCAUUAUUUCAAAGCUAGAAAAAGCCUUAGUACCCUGAUUGCAACUAUUUCAGUUUAUAGGUGAAGAAACUGCUCCCUAAAUCAGUGUUGGUAAAUAC